GAAAUAUAAGCUAAUUUUAAGCUAUUGGAUUCAUAAUUCAAUUAUAGAUAAAAAUCUUUUUUCUAA
rnacentral:tRNA from 1 species